rnacentral:rRNA from 1 species
UAACGCGUAUACAAUCUACCUUUUACAGGGGGAUAGCCCAGAGAAAUUUGGAUUAAUACCCCAUAGUAUUAUUGAUUGGCAUCAAUUAAUAAUUAAAGAUUUAUCGGUAAGAGAUGAGUAUGCGUCCUAUUAGCUAGAUGGUGUGGUAACGGCACACCAUGGCAACGAUAGGUAGGGGCCCUGAGAGGGGGAUCCCCCACACUGGUACUGAGACACGGACCAGACUCCUACGGGAGGCAGCAGUGAGGAAUAUUGGACAAUGGGCGCGAGCCUGAUCCAGCCAUGCCGCGUGCAGGAAGACUGCCCUAUGGGUUGUAAACUGCUUUUAUACAGGAAGAAACCUUUCCACGUGUGGGAAGCUGACGGUACUGUAAGAAUAAGCAUCGGCUAACUCCGUGCCAGCAGCCGCGGUAAUACGGAGGAUGCAAGCGUUAUCCGGAAUCAUUGGGUUUAAAGGGUCCGUAGGUGGAUAAAUAAGUCAGAGGUGAAAGCCUGCAGCUCAACUGUAGAACUGCCUUUGAUACUGUUUAUCUUGAGUUAUUAUGAAGUAGUUAGAAUAUGUAGUGUAGCGGUGAAAUGCAUAGAUAUUACAUAGAAUACCAAUUGCGAAGGCAGAUUACUAAUAAUAUACUGACACUGAUGGACGAAAGCGUGGGGAGCGAACAGGAUUAGAUACCCUGGUAGUCCACGCCGUAAACGAUGGUCACUAGCUGUUCGGACUUCGGUCUGAGUGGCUAAGCGAAAGUGAUAAGUGACCCACCUGGGGAGUACGUUCGCAAGAAUGAAACUCAAAGGA